UGCGUAGGCGGCUUUGCAAGUCAGAUGUGAAAUCUAUGGGCUCAACCCAUAAACUGCAUUUGAAACUGUAGAGCUUGAGUGAAGUAGAGGUAGGCGGAAUUCCCCGUGUAGCGGUGAAAUGCGUAGAGAUGGGGAGGAACACCAGUGGCGAAGGCGGCCUGCUGGGCUUUAACUGACGCUGAGGCACGAAAGCGUGGUAGCAAACA
rnacentral:rRNA from 1 species